UAGGAGAAAAAAUCUUAUGAAUCUUAAUAAGGUUUGUUCCCUUCUUUCUUUGUCUGCAACUUUUCAAAGUUUCUGAUUAUGCAAUUUCUCUAUGUCUAUGGUAACAGCAAGACAGGUGAUCAAGGCCUGUUACCAAAUUUAAAUGAAUGGGCGUGCUUUUGUUGAAACAAUUGCUCUACUACUUGCUUUCCUCAGUUGUCUGCCCUUGGAACUGUCAAUUCCUACGAGGAUUUUCUACGAAGUUGGUGGGAGGAGUAUCCAUAAAGUUGGUGUAUUAACGGACCUCCGGAAAUGCAGAAUUUCAGAAAGGAGGCAGAUGAUGUAAGUAUGCUGUAUUUGAAAGCUUCUUGGCUCUCACUUUCCUAAUGCAAUCUAUUAAUCACUAGAGAAAAAUUACACAAUAAGCAUAGCAACAAUUGACUUUCAAAAACAAAAACUGCAUCAUCCUACUAUUUAUGAAAGAAAAUCAUACACUAUUUCCAUCAUCUGGAAAAUUCAAAUUCCUCAUCACUUAACUGAACUUCUUUACUCUGAAUAAUUAUAUCCAACCAAGUAGCUUGAGACGGUAAUAGUUGCAAAUUUUCUAAUACACUCCCUUUUUGUUGGGUUAGUCAAUACAUUCAUUUGUUCGGUUCUAAAGAAACAAAAAGCUACUUGGAUUUUGUACCAUUCCACAAGAUUUCGAUUUGAUAAUGUUUUUUCGCACUAUAUAUUUCAGUUGCUAUUGAAAUCGAUGCUUUGAACUGUGAUUUUGUGGGGAACAAGACGGAAGUAGGUUAGUUUGUUUGUGCUCAAAAGAAGGAACUUUUUCAUUGUUCAAGAGAAUUAGGAUUUUGGGUAAGUUGCUAUUUGAUAGUGAGCUUCCAGAGUUUGGAGAGGUAUGGUUUUCUUUUAGCUGAAAUGCUGAGUAUUUAGAGAUGUGUUGAUUGUGCAUGGCUUCCUUGAGUGUGCUUGUUCGGCUUUGUUUAUCUGUGUUCUGAUUAAUUUGGCAAACUGUUCAGUUGAAUGAAUCAUUUGGUGGCUCUACAGGGUGACAUGGUAUAGAAGUUGAUAUAUCAGAUAUACAAGAAACCUUAUCCAAAUAUUGUUGUUUUAGCAGUUGGAGCAGGUGAUAAAACAAUUAUAUGCUCAAAGUUGCCCAAACUGGAGAUAGAAAAUAUGGUAACCCCAUCAAUGACCAAGUCUUUGCAUGACGUAGAUUUGGUUGGAUAGAGAUGUCAACUAGAACAAAAGAAGGCAGUUUUGGAAGUGGUUUGGGGGAAACAAAAGGUUCAUCUUGACUGCAAAACAUUGCCAUCUAAUGAGAAUAUAUUGUCAAGCUUCUAUACAAAAAGAUAAAGUUUAUAACAGAUGGACUUCAGGUCAUUGAUUCCCGCCACAAAAACUGUUGUGCACAGAUGAGGAAAGCCGAUGACUAAAGUCAAAAUGACUGGGUAGAAAGUUACAAGUUCAUUUGGUU